rnacentral:rRNA from 1 species
GGCCGAGCGGUGCUCCAUGCAGUCGACGAUGAAGCAUUCUUCGGAAUGUGGAAGAGUGGCGAACGGGUGAGGAACACGUAAGAAUCUGCCCCUCGGUCGGGGACAACUCUUGGAAACGAGAGCUAAUACCCGAUACGCUGUGGAGUGAAAGAAUUUCGCCGAGGGAUGAUCUUGCGUCUGAUUAGCUAGUUGGUAUGGUAAUGGCAUACCAAGGCGACGAUCAGUAGCUGGUCUGAGAGGAUGAACAGCCACAUUGGAACUGAGACACGGUCCAAACUCCUACGGGAGGCAGCAGUGGGGAAUUUUCCGCAAUGGACGAAAGUCUGACGGAGCGACGCUGCGUGAAGGAUGACGGCCUGCGGGUUGUAAACUUCUUUUCUCGAAGAAGAAGCUCUGACGGUAUUCGAGGAAUAAGCAUCGGCUAACUCCGUGCCAGCAGCCGCGGUAAUACGGAGGAUGCAAGUGUUAUUCGGAAUGAUUGGGCGUAAAGCGUCUGUAGGCUGUAUAGAAAGUCUUUUGUUAAAUGCCUCGGCUCAACCGAGAUCCAGCAAAGGAAACUUCUAUACUUGAGGGAAGUAGAGGUACAGGGAAUUCCCGGUGGAGCGGUGAAAUGCGUAGAUAUCGGGAGGAACACCAAUAUGGCGAAGGCACUGUACUGGGCUUUACCUGACGCUCAGAGACGAAAGCUAAAGGAGUGAUUAGGAUUAGAUACCCUAGUAAUUUUAGCCGUAAACGAUGGAAACUCACUGCCGAGCGAAAUACAACGAGCGGUGGUCAAGCUAACGCGUGAAGUUUCCCGCCUGGGGAUUACGCUUGCAAAAGUGAAACUCAAAGGAAUUGACGGGGACC